rnacentral:tRNA from 1 species
GCCCCUGACCUGCAAUUUCCUCUCCCCAAGCAACGGCCUCCGGAGCCGUGUGCGCAGAUUUCGAAUCCUGCCGGGGGCA